rnacentral:tmRNA from 1 species
GGGGGCGACCUGGAUUCGACGCGGGUAAUGAAACCUGAGGUGCAUGCCGAGCUGCAAUCAACUCGUUAAACUGACUGCAAACUUUUAGUUGCCAAUGAUGACAACUACGCACUAGCAGCUUAAAAACCUGCUCAGCGCCUUCCGCCCGGUUCGUGCCCAUACGUCCGGAUCACGGGAGUCACCCUAUAUGGGAUCGCGACGAAGCACGCCUGGUGUGGACUCGUUAAAACCUAUCCAGGAUCGUUUAUGGUUUUCCCUGCCUGUCGGGUAACCAUCGACUAAACCAAUAGACCGGAUAAGCAUGUAGAGCCAAAGGCGGAGUGCUUGCGGACGCGGGUUCGAUUCCCGCCGCCUCCACCA